rnacentral:rRNA from 1 species
UACGGGGGGAGCAAGCGUUGUUCGGAUUUACUGGGCGUAAAGGGCGCGUAGGCGGUCGUGACAAGUCACUUGUGAAAUCUCCGGGCUUAACUCGGAACGGUCAAGUGAUACUGUCGGACUAGAGUACAGAAGGGGCAACUGGAAUUCUCGGUGUAGCGGUGAAAUGCGUAGAUAUCAGGAGGAACACCAGUGGCGAAGGCGGUGCUCUGGGCCGGAACUGACGCUGAGGAGCGAAAGCGUGGGGAGCAAACAGG